rnacentral:rRNA from 1 species
AUUGAACGCUGGCGGCAGGCUUAACACAUGCAAGUCGAGCGGAGAUGAGGUGCUUGCACCUUAUCUUAGCGGCGGACGGGUGAGUAAUGCUUAGGAAUCUGCCUAUUAGUGGGGGACAACAUUCCGAAAGGAAUGCUAAUACCGCAUACGUCCUACGGGAGAAAGCAGGGGAUCUUCGGACCUUGCGCUAAUAGAUGAGCCUAAGUCGGAUUAGCUAGUUGGUGGGGUAAAGGCCUACCAAGGCGACGAUCUGUAGCGGGUCUGAGAGGAUGAUCCGCCACACUGGGACUGAGACACUGCCCAGACGCCUACGGGAGGCAGCAGUGGGGAAUAUUGGACAAUUGGGGGAACCCUGAUCCAGCCAUGCCGCGUGUGUGAAGAAGGCCUUAUGGUUGUAAAGCACUUUAAGCGAGGAGGAGGCUACUGAGACUAAUACUCUUGGAUAGUGGACGUUACUCGCAGAAUAAGCACCGGCUAACUCUGUGCCAGCCGCCGCAGUAAAAC